rnacentral:tRNA from 1 species
CAUGAAGUCACGAGACAUUUGAGUACUUGCUUCCCUGUGCCUAGCUUAUUCCAAUUAGCAUAAUGUCAUACAGGUUCUUCCACAUUGUCACAUAUGACAGGAUUUCAGGAAGGGCUUUUAGAAGGUGGGGAUCAGAGGACAGCUCCUCUCGGGAUUCAUGUUUAUUGGCUGCGAAUGGAAGAUGACAGGAGUAAACCCUGUGUCAAGGAAAGAUAUUUCCAGGAAGACACUGAGGUGGGAGAACGUUUGUUCUGUUUUGUUUGAGGAACUGAAAGGAGGCCAGUACCCUGCCAGUGUGGCUAGAGCAAAGGUUCCACAGAGGGAGAGGCAGCAGGGCUGGGUCUUCCCAAGGUGCUUUGUGCAGGGUAAGGCUGGACUUUACCCCACGCCAAGGACAGACACCACCUACUGGUGGAAUCUUUUCCAGGCUGCUGUGAGAACUGCAUGAAGGUAUGAACAAAAGUGGAAGUAGCAAGAGCAGUAAGGAAGACAUGACGGAAAUUCAGGCAAGAGGAAGGUGUCGCACAGGAUCUCUCAACCCAUGAGUUUUUCCAGAAUGCUGCUGCUCCCCAUCCAGCGGUAGAUCCAGGGCUGAGGAUGUAGCUCAGAGGUAGGGUGCUUGCCUAGCAUGCAUGAAGCCCUGGCUUUGAUUCCCAGCACCCACCCACACACACAGAGUGGAUCCAUUUCUUUCC